rnacentral:rRNA from 1 species
AUUGAACGCUGGCGGCAGGCCUAACACAUGCAAGUCGAGCGAGCGGCGGACGGGUGAGUAAGGACUGGGACCCUGACCGAUGGAGGGGGAUAACUACUGGAAACGGUAGCCAAUACCGCAUACCAUCAGAUGUGCCCAUAUGGGAUUAGCUAGUAGGUUGGGUAAAGGCUCACCAAGGCGACGAUCCCUAGUUGGUCUGAGAGGAUGACCAGCCACACUGGGACUGAGACACGGUCCAGACUCCUACGGGAGGCAGCAGUGGGGAAUAUUGCACAAUGGGGGCAAGCCUGAUCCAGCCAUGCCGCGUGUGUGAAGAAGGCCUUCGGGUUGUAAAGCACUUUCAGCGGGGAGGCGUUACUCGCAGAAGAAGCACCGGCUAACUCCGUGCCAGCAGCCGCGGUAAUUC